rnacentral:rRNA from 1 species
AUACGGAGGGUGCAAGCGUUAAUCGGAAUUACUGGGCGUAAAGCGCGCGUAGGCGGCUAAGUAAGUCGGAUGUGAAAGCCCUGGGCUUAACCUGGGAAUUGCAUUCGAUACUGCUUGGCUAGAGUAUGGUAGAGGGUGGUGGAAUUCCUAGUGUAGCGGUGAAAUGCGUAGAUAUUAGGAGGAACAUCAGUGGCGAAGGCGACUUUCUGGACUAAUACUGACACUCAGGUGCGAAAGCGUGGGGAGCAAACAGGAUUAGAAACCCCGGUAGUCC